GGACGGCCCGAGUGAGGCGUCCUCCGAAGGCUGCGGGCCCGAAGCCAGAACUCCUUCCUCUCCGAAGACCUCGGGGGUGGGGCUCGCGCUUCCGCAGCGGGCCUAGAGCGAGAGGCAGGCGGCAGGGAGAGGCUGUCGAUGCUGAGGCACGAGAGAAUUUGCUCCUGCUCCUCCAGAGAAAAUGGCUGGGACAGGCUGUUGAGGAAUAAUUCUGCAGGGAAAAGUGGAAGAUGGCUGUGAAAGACUGGGAGGAGGCUGGCUAUGUUUUCAGGGGUUCUUCCUGCACAGUCGGUAGAAGCUGAGCUGCUGGGGAAGGGGCUGGAAGAAAGCCCACACCGCAGCUGCUGCAGUUCCUGCUCCGGGAAGGUUGCUUUCCGCUCUGGUGAGCUGGGGUUUCUGGCAGGGGCUGGCUCCAGGGAGGACAGAGGUAUCAGUAGCAAAUUCAAAAACUACAGAAUCAGCUCCAGAGGACUUUGUUAACAAGAAAGAGAAGAUUGAAAACAGCCCUGGGGCUACACCAACUCAAGAGCUCCCAGGCAAAGUGGCAUCCUGGACCCACCAUCUCUCCUACCCCAUCCUCAGUUGGUACUUCCCCAGGCACCGUUUGUUCUGGCAUGGGGCGAGUUCAGCCCUGGGACCACCCUCAUCCUUAUAACUACCAGCUGUCUUUGGUGAGGUGCAAGAUCUCUCUGGUUUUCUUUAUUUCAUUUUCAUUCCUAUAAUCACAGCCUUUUUGUGCCCAUCCCUCAGGUGACAUUCUAUUAUGUUUGAUGUGUCAUUUUUGAUUUGGUUGUGUCCUUGCAAAAUGUGCGUUGUUUUAUUUAUCAAUUUAUUUUUAUUUUUAUUUUUUUAAAGAGAUGAGGUCUCAUCAUGUUGCCCAGGCUGGACUCCAACUCCUGGGCUCAAGCGAUCCUUCCACCUCAAUCUUCUGAGUGGCUGGGACUACAGAUGUGCGCCACCAUACCUGGCUAUUGAUCAAUUUUUAGUUUACCAAACAGGCAUUAUGUUCUGGGUCCCAUUCUGUGUCGGGUUCUCUUUUCACUCGGCACCAUGGCUUUAGGAUCCAUCCAUGCUGCUCUGUGAACACCGAGUUGCUUUAACUGCUUGGUGCUCCAUGCGGCAUCCCCUUUUGUGUCUCUGUCCUCCCAGUGAGGGACCCCAUCGUACCCUACUCCCCUCCCACAAAGGAAGCUGUAGUGCGCAUCCUCAGGCGUGUCCCCAUAUGGAUCUGCUGGCAUUCCUUUGUCAGUGCACCCAGGGGUAGAAGUCCUUGGUCUCAGUCUGCAGACGUCUGCCUGAGUGCAGCCAGGUGCCCCCCAGAGUGGGUAGCCUUGUCCACAUGCCCAUCAGCAGCACCUGAGGGGUCCCAACAGCCCUACAUCCCACCAACUUUCUGCUGUUUUCCAGUCAAAUGGCUCUUGAGUGUUACCUGGCUUUAUUUAUUUAUUUAUUUAUUUUUUGAGUCAGGGUCUCUGUUGCCCAGGCUGGAGUGCAGUGGUACAAUCAUGGCUCACUGCAGCCUCGAUCUUCCAGGCUCAAACAAUCCUCUCACCUCCUGAGUAGCUAGGACUACACGCAUGUGCCACCAUGCCUGGCUAAUUUUUAAAUUUUUUUGCAGAGGAAGGGUCUUGCUAUGUUGCACAGGCUGAUCUUGAACUCCUGGCCUCAAGCGAUCCUCCUGCCCCAGCCUCCCAAAGUGCUGGGAUUACAGGUGUGAGCCACUGCUCCCGGCCUGUCUUUAUUUUGUAUUCUUGGAUUCCUAGUGAGUUUGAGCCCCCUCUAUACAUCAUAACCCUUAUGAUACUAGUAAACAUAUAUUUUAUCUUUAACCCCAUUUCUGGCACAGAACUCCUAAAAGCCUUACUCUCCAAAAUGAUCUCUUUCUGUGUACUAAUGGAUUGACUGAAGGCUGGCAGCCCCUAGGUAGCUUCAAGAUGGGGGCUGGUCAUCAGAGAGACAUAGGCAGGAUUAGAGGGUUGAGACUUUCAUCCCACCAUCCCACGUACUGGAAGGGAAGGGGGCUAAAGGUUAAGCUGUUCGCCAAUGGCCAGUGAUUUAUUCAAUCAUGCCUACGUAAUGAAGCCUACACAAAAACCCAAGAAGACAGGGUUCCGAGAACUUCUGGUAGCUGGGCACAUGGAGGUUCCUGGAGGGUGCCAAGCCCUGGAAGCUCUGUGCUCCCUCCCACACGCCUUGCCCUAUGCAUCUCUUCAUUUGUAUCCUUUGUAAUAUCCUUUCUAAUAAACUGGUAAAUGUAA